rnacentral:pre_miRNA from 1 species
UAUUUACUCCCUCCGUCCCAAAAUAAGUGACUCAAGAAUGACUCUACUUUGUACUAAAGUUAGUACAAAACUGAGUCAUUCUUGAGUCACUUAUUUUGGGACGGAGGAAGUAUUUG